rnacentral:lncRNA from 1 species
UCUUUUCUUUCUUUUUCUCUCGAAAGGUUUUGGACCUUCACCUCAUGUAGAAAGGUUCCUCACACCCCAAACUUUCUCUCCAAAAAUUUCUACGCACGCCCCACCUUUCUCCCCUUUUUAAAACAACAUCGAACGUGUCUUAUCCGCGUGAGAGGAUAAAGAUAAGUGGUUGCACAUUUGAAUUCAAAUCGAGUUUGAAUUCAAAUGCAAACCAACUCAUCCCUAUCCACUUAUGCC